rnacentral:rRNA from 1 species
GAUGAACGCUGGCGGCGUGCCUAAUACAUGCAAGUCGAGCGAACAGACGAGGAGCUUGCUCCUCUGACGUUAGCGGCGGACGGGUGAGUAACACGUGGAUAACCUACCUAUAAGACUGGGAUAACUUCGGGAAACCGGAGCUAAUACCGGAUAAUAUAUUGAACCGCAUGGUUCAAUAGUGAAAGACGGUUUUGCUGUCACUGAUAGAUGGAUCCGCGCCGCAUUAGCUAGUUGGUAAGGUAGCGGCUUACCAAGGCAACGAUGCGUAGCCGACCUGAGAGGGUGAUCGGCCACACUGGAACUGAGACACGGUCCAGACUCCUACGGGAGGCAGAAGUAGGGAAUCUUCCGCAAUGGGCGAAAGCUUGACGGAGCAACGCCGCGUGAGUGAUGAAGGUCUUCGGAUCGUAAAACUCUGUUAUUAGGGAAGAACAAAUGUGUAAGUAACUAUGCACGUCUUGACGGUACCUAAUCAGAAAGCAACGGCUAACUACGUG